ACUCCUACGGGAGGCAGCAGUGGGGAAUAUUGCACAAUGGGCGGAAGCCUGAUGCAGCGACGCCGCGUGAGGGAUGACGGCCUUCGGGUUGUAAACCUCUUUCAAUCUUGACGAAGCCUUCGGGUGACGGUAGGGGUAGAAGAAGCACCGGCCAACUACGUGCCAGCAGCCGCGGUAAU
rnacentral:rRNA from 1 species